GCCAUGCAUGUCUAAGUAUAAACGAUUUAAUCGUGAAACCGCGAAUGGCUCAUUAUAACAGCUAUAAUUUACUUGAUCUUGACACAAUCCUACUUGGAUAACUGUGGUAAUUCUAGAGCUAAUACAUGCAUUAAAGCUCUGACCUCACGGGAAGAGUGCAUUUAUUAGAACAAAACCAAGCGGCUUCGGCUGUUUCUGGUUGACUCAUAGUAACUGAGCUGAUCGCAUGGUCUUGCACCGGCGACGUGUCUUUCAAGUAUCUGCCGUAUCAACUUUCGAUGGUAGUGUAUCUGACUACCAUGGUGAUCACGCGUAACGGAGAAUAAGGGUUCGGCUCCGGAGAGUUCGCCUGAGAAAUCGCGAACACAUCUAAGGAAGGCAGCAGGCGCGAAAAUUACCCACUCUCAGCACGAGGAGGUAGUGACAAAAAAUAACGAGACCGUUCUCUUAUGAGGCCGGUCAUCGGAAUGGG
rnacentral:rRNA from 1 species